rnacentral:misc_RNA from 1 species
GAUGAAAAACGCAGCAAAAUGCGAUAAGUAAUGUGAAUUGCAGAAUUCAGUGAAUCAUCGAAUCUUUGAACGCACAUUGCGCCCGCUGGUAUUCCGGCGGGCAUGCCUGUUCGAGCGUCAUUUCAACCCUCAAGCCCCCGGGUUUGGUGUUGGGGAUCGGCUCUGCCCUUCUGGGCGGUGCCGCCCCCGAAAUACAUUGGCGGUCUCGCUGCAGCCUCCAUUGCGUAGUAGCUAACACCUCGCAACUGGAACGCGGCGCGGCCAUGCCGUAAAACCCCAACUUCUGAAUGUUGACCUCGGAUCAGGUAGGAAUACCCGCUGAACUUAAGCAUAUCAAUAAGCGGAGGA